rnacentral:rRNA from 1 species
AUGACUAGGGAUAACCUUAGGAAGAGACACAUCAUCAAACCCCUUGAUUGUGUUUACUGCUUGGAACAAGAGUCUUGUUCUCACCUAUUUUUUGAAUGUAUAGUUGCUAAACAUAUCUGGGCCCACAUUGAGGAAUAUUUCUCUAGUCAGAUUGGCUCAUUCUUCGAAUCUGUCGCCAGAUUCUAGAUUGCUACCAAGAAGUGCUCCGUUUUAAACACUAUUAGCUCAGCUGUCCUUUGGUGCCUCUGGAAAUACAAAAAUGCUAUGAUUUUCAGUAAUACCUCCUGGAUUUCCAUUCCGCAGGUCUUGAGGUUGAUUAGGAACAUUGUGAGGAACUGGGCGAUUCUCUCCUCCGGAUCGGACAAGGACAAGUUGAUGAGCUUCGUGGAAACCCUAACAAGAUCCCUCCAGAAACCGUUGGCGAUCACUUGUGGCCGAACAAGGCUCGACCUGGUCUGGGGCUAG